rnacentral:tRNA from 1 species
GCUCCCUUAGCUCAGUGGUAGAGCGCGUCACUUGUACGACCAUGUAUAUGACGAGGUCGUUCGUUCGAUCCGGGCAGGGAGCU